GUUUUUAUUUGAUGAUAACUGUUUUUUCUAUGUUUCAAUACUUUUUAAUUGAAUAAAAAAAUUUAUCUUCCCAUCCAAUGCAUGAACCCCUCUGCCUUCUUCGGCCACUGUUUGGCUCUGUGAGUUUUCUGAGUUUUGGGGAGGCCACAAGAAGGGAGGAUGGGGGUAAAAAACUUACUGAGUUUGGGAGAGGGCUUGAGAAGGGAAGAUGGGUGAAAACGAAGAGGAUGUUUGCUACUUCUACACUAACACCGUGCUG
rnacentral:lncRNA from 1 species